rnacentral:lncRNA from 1 species
UCUAUUAUAUUUAACGGUGGAUCGCCAACAACUAAUUUUAUUUCUUUUCUUCAUCUUCUUCCUUCUACCACUUCUUCAUAUUCAUACCAAAUUCAUCAAUAUUCAUACAAUAACCAAAAAAAAAAAAUCCAGAAAAUAAAAAAUCAACAUUUAACCAACAUAUAAAACUCAUAUCAACAUCAAAUCAUCCCUUCAACAAUUAAAUAAAAUCAAUACCUUCAUAUAUCAACUUAGGAAAAUUCAAUACAACAAAUAAAAUUCAGUACCUCACAACAAUUAAGAGAACAAAUCAAAAAAGAAAAGUAAAAACGUGAAAAGAAGAUACAUAAGAAGAAAAAAAACGAGAAGAUGAUGACAACAAUGUUUCCGGCGCCGGUGGCUUCCAUUUUCAGUUCUGUCCCAAUAACAAUAACAACAAAUGAAUUUGAAGGAAUUGGAUUCAAAACCCAUAAAUGCAAUGAUCCAUAAGCUCAGAUCUAGAACCCAAAAAUUCAAUGAUUCAAAAACAAGAAUAAAUUAAAUGAAUUCAAAACCAAGAAAAGAAAAGGAAAAGGGAAAGAAGAAGAAAAGGAAAGAAAAAGAAAGGAAAACGGUAAUGAAGAAAAAGAAGAAGGAUAGGAAAGGAAAAGGAAAAGGAAAAGGAAAGAACGAGAAUGCAGGGAAGAGUAAAAAAAGAAAGAAAAAGAAGAAAUGAGGAGAAAGAAGAAAAAAAUUACGGGCUUGUGUGUUGUUGUGUUGGUAUGAAGUACACGAUAAGAUAGAAUAGACAUGCAGAAUCCAACGAUCCUCUUUUUAACUAAAAUAUCAAAUGGUUAAAAUUAAAAAAUUUAGUAAGGUCUACGGUGGACCACCUGUAAUGUUGGUCCACCUUAUACAUUUAGGGUUAAAAACUGAC